rnacentral:rRNA from 1 species
CCUACGGGAGGCAGCAGUGAGGAAUCUUGGUCAAUGGGCGCUAGCCUGAACCAGCCACGUAGCGUGAAGGAUGACUGCCCUCUGGGUUGUAAACUUCUUUUAUAUGGGAAUAAAGUGCAGUAUGUAUACUGCUUUGCAUGUACCUUAUGAUUAAGGAUCGGCGAACUCCGUGCCAGCAGCCGCGGUAAUACGGAGGGUCCGAGCGUUAUCCGGAUUUAUUGGGUUUAAAGGGAACGUAGGCGGGUUGUUAAGUCAGUUGUGAAAGUUUGCGGCUCAACCGUAACAUUGCAGUUGAUACUGGCAUCCUUGAGUACAGUAGAGGUAGGCGGAAUUCGAGGUGUAGCGGUGAAAUGCUUAGAUAUCACGAAGAACUCCGAUUGCGAAGGCAGCCUGCUGGACUGUAACUGACGCUGAUGCUCGAAAGUGUGGGUAGCAAACAGGAUUAGAUACCCCUGUAGUC